rnacentral:rRNA from 1 species
UACGUGGGGGGCAAGCGUUGUUCGGAAUUACUGGGCGUAAAGGGCUCGUAGGUGGCCAACUAAGUCAGACGUGAAAUCCCUCGGCUUAACCGGGGAACUGCGUCUGAUACUGGAUGGCUUGAGUUCGGGAGAGGGAUGCGGAAUUCCAGGUGUAGCGGUGAAAUGCGUAGAUAUCUGGAGGAACACCGGUGGCGAAGGCGGCAUCCUGGACCGACGCUGACGUUGAGGAGCGAAAGCCAGGGGAGCAAACGGG